rnacentral:rRNA from 1 species
GGCUUAGGAUGAACGCUAGCUACAGGACUUAACACAUGCAAGUCGAGGGGCGAGCAUAUCGAAGCUUGCUUUGAUGAUGGCGACCGGCGCACGGGUGAGUAACGCGUAUCCAACCUUCCCUAUACUAGAGGAUAGCCCGGCGAAAGUCGGAUUAAUACUCUAUGUUCUUCGUAGAAGACAUCUGAAAUGAAGCAAAGGUUUACCGGUAUAGGAUGGGGAUGCGUCUGAUUAGGUUGUUGGCGGGGUAACGGCCCACCAAGCCCACGAUCAGUAGGGGUUCUGAGAGGAAGGUCCCCCACAUUGGAACUGAGACACGGUCCAAACUCCUACGGGAGGCAGCAGUGAGGAAUAUUGGUCAAUGGACGAGAGCCUGAACCAGCCAAGUAGCGUGCAGGAAUGACGGCCCUAUGGGUUGUAAACUGCUUUUAUACAGGGAUAAAGUGCACUACGUGUAGUGUUUUGUAGGUACUGUAUGAAUAAGGACCGGCUAAUUCCGUGCCAGCAGCUGC